UACGUAGGGGGCAAGCGUUGUCCGGAAUUAUUGGGCGUAAAGAGCUCGUAGGCGGUUUGUCGCGUCGGAUGUGAAAAUCCAGGGCUCAACCCUGGACCUGCAUUCGAUACGGGCAGACUAGAGUUCGGUAGGGGAGACUGGAAUUCCUGGUGUAGCGGUGAAAUGCGCAGAUAUCAGGAGGAACACCGGUGGCGAAGGCGGGUCUCUGGGCCGAAACUGACGCUGAGGAGCGAAAGCGUGGGGAGCAAACAGG
rnacentral:rRNA from 1 species